CAUCCUUGAUCGGGAGGUCCGGGUAAUCUUUUGAAACUUCAUCGUGCUGGGGAUAGUCCCUUGCAAUUUUUGGACUUUAACGAGGAAUUCCUAGUAAGCGUGAGUCAUCAACUCGCGUUGAUUACGUCCCUGCCCUUUGUACACACCGCCCGUCGCUACUACCGAUUGAAUGGCUUAGUGAAUCCUUCGGAUUGGCUUUCUUUUCUGGCAACAGAAUUUGAUCGCUGAAAAGUUGGGCAAACUUGGUCAUUUAGAGGAAGUAAAAGUCGUAACAAGGUUUCCGUAGGUGAACCUGCGGAAGGAUCAUUAAAAAAUGAGACCUUUUUGAAAGGUCUAUUAAUAAUCCUACCCUUUGUGAAUUUGUUGUUUGAAAUAAUUUUUUUUCCAAAAAAAUUAUUGAAUGUCUUUCCCUGUUUGGUGGAGCUUGUAAAAGUGAAACCAUCAGGGGAAUGGCAAACAAUAAUUAUUUUGAAAAAAGACCUUUUUUUAAAAUUAAACAUUUUGUAUUCAUUUGUCUAAAAUUAUUUUUAUAAUAUAAAAACAACUUUUGACAAUGGAUCUCUUGGUUCUCGCAACGAUGAAGAACGCAGCAAAAUGCGAUAAGUAGUGUGAAUUGCAGAAUACGUGAAUCAUCGAAUCUUCGAACGCAUAUUGCAC
rnacentral:rRNA from 1 species